rnacentral:misc_RNA from 1 species
AUCGACACGAACGAUUACGGCGUGAAGAUGAAGAGCAUGCUGCGGUUUUUCGAGGAAGGCGACAAGGUCAAGGUGACGCUGCGUUUCCGCGGUCGCGAGAUGGCUCACCAGGACCUCGGCUUCAAGCUGCUGCAGCAGGUCAAGGAAGAAACCGUCGGCGUUGCCAAGGUCGAGAGCGAGCCACGCCUCGAAGGCCGUCAGAUGGUGAUGCUGCUCGCUCCACGCUGAGCAUUGCAUUUUCCAAGGGCUCCGGGCGGCGUUGCCGCGCCGGAGCCUUUUUUGUUUCGGAGGCGCGAUACCUGAAUCCGCC